AGCUUCCCGAGUUUGUCUUCAUAGGGGAGGUGCUCCGGUCCCCUUAUCCUGGAUACUGGGGUACAAAGUCAUGACCUGGCUCAUCCCACCGUAAGGAUAAGGGGAGCAGGGCUCCCUGUGCAUGUUUAUUUGCCGGGCAGAGGGUGGCCUUGCAGCGGGGGUGGGCCAGAAGUCCCUGUAAGAGGCAUCGGAGAAAAACAACUGUACUGGGUUUCUCAACACCCCUCUGCCUCCAAACUGCUCCUAAUGGCUGCCAAGUGACACCCAGGAUGGUGACCUACCUGCAAUGGGGCUCUCUUGUCGAGGGGGUUCCUUUCUCCACAGUGGGACAAAAACCUUGAUGAACAGCUACCAUCUGAGCUGAAAUACAUUGAUAUAAUCAAAUAAAGCAGAAGCAGCCACAUCUGGGCUAGCACCACAGUAAAACCUGCUUCCAGGUGUUUGCUCCUCUUCCAACCAGUCAGAGUGGCACCUCCAGCAGCCUCAGGCCAUAGAACCACAAUAAAGACCAGCUGGACUCACAGGGCUCUUCAAAGCCCCCUCAAAGGCCUGUUCUGCCCAAGCAGAGGCAGAGGGGACACAGCCCCAGACAGACCUGGCACUGGUCAAGGCAGAGCAGGAUAAGGUUCAUGUGUAUGCCAAGCAGCACAAGAAGCAGAGCUACAGCUCCCUGCCACUCACGCUGUUUUGCCCCUCACGCCUCGGGGCUGGACCACUUCACCCCUGAGAAUGACACUGCAAACCACCUAAGACUGACAGCCCAUUUGAGCCCUGCCAUGUGGUGGGGCUGCUCUACCUUCACAAAAGUAAGAAUUUCUAUUUUCACAAAUGAAAGAUGCACAUAACUCUUCAUAAACUUGUCAGAGUAACACCAGACACUAAGAAAAGAUCUGCCUCUUUCUUCCCCACCUUCCCUGAUCCGUUUGCUAAAAAUAAUAAAGCCAAACUCCCAGGAGCAAGCUGUCCCCACAGGUAACCCCUCUUGCUCUGCAUCUUACCUGGCAGCUGUUCUCUCUGUGGCCCAGCAGUCUUGUCCCACCAUCCCCAGCCAGAAGCUGGAUUCAGAGCAGUACCAGGCUCACGAGGAAGUCACCAGCUUGUAUUUAGAGGUAAGGCUGAUGUCAACUGAGGCAAAUAAGUGCAGUGGGCAGAACUCAUUUUAUAGGAAGAUUUUACUUCCUCAUUUGGCAGCCAUGCUCUCAUAUAACCAUAGUUUGAUAAACUUUCACUUCAUUUUUCAAAAGGAAAAAAAAAUAAAAGAGGUUCCUAACACA